CCGCCGCCGCCGCCCUGGUAGCCGUUCCGGGAGCCCUGGUAGCUGGAGUACCGGGGGUUGUCUUUGGCCGUCUGGAAGACGUCUCCAGAAAAGUUAGAACAGUGUGAAUAGUUUCCCAGAGCAGCUUGGGUCUUUUUUGUCAACACGUGAAAUGAAAUCGGGUGUCGGCGAUGCCGGUCUCUGAAAAUUGGACCCAGCGGAGCGUGUGAAGAAUCAACCUGGGCCGACUCUUCCUAUCUCACCCAUCAAGCAGCGUAUCCGUCCUCAACUGGAACCAAUCUCCACCAAAUGCAAAACAAAGCUCUGCUCUGUUCUCAUUAAAGGAUUUCCACCAUUUUUUA